rnacentral:lncRNA from 1 species
UUUUUUUCGUUAUGUUUGCAAAUUUUCAUAAUAAAAUGCUGGAGCGGGAGAAGAAAAAAAACUACCUACAGGCAGAAUUCUUGGGACUGGAUGGGGAGAGAGAAGAUGCAAAAUUUUAAGAACACGUGACACUGUGGCAUUGAAGAGAGAAUAAUUCCAGACUCACAACAGCUACGACUGAGAGACUGUGUACCCCUGGGAACUGCAGAGCCACCAGGCCCCACAUUAUUUGUCCUGGGCCUCGUUAAAGGAAACAUCCCUUCUGUGAGCCACAAACACAAGAUGUUCCUGCAGAGAAGCCAAUGUUCUUCAUGAAACUAGGGUCACUGCUAAGAACACCUGGGCAGAGGGACAGGUACAGCUGUGUUACAGCUUCCAUUCCUUUCGAUUCAGUGUGAACUCAUCAAAUUAUAAUUUAAUUUAACAUAUUGGUCUAGUAGUUGUGGUUAAAACGGCACAGACAAUGGGGAAACUUUAUGCUUCUGGAAGGACAGGUGCCCAUGGGACAGGGGUCCCUUCUUUUUGGACGGGCUGACCUAAGGCACGUCCAAGGUCAUACCCUCCACGGUGAAAGGGGAGGGGAGGGACUGAGCACAGAACAAGUCCAGCUUCUUCCCCACCUUCUUGCUGCCCUUAACCUCCUCUCCCCCUCUCCGCUGAUCUCCAUUCUGUACACCUGACCUUGCAAACUCAGUUUUAAGACCCAGCAAUUUCCCGUCCGUCGUGGCUCAGCGGUAAGGAGCUCUAUUAGUAUCCAUAGGGAUGCAGGUUCAAUCCCUGGCCUCGCUCAGGGGGUUAAGGAUCCAGUGUUGCCGUGGGCUAUGGUGCAGGUCACAGACAUGACUCAGAUCACGCGUUGCUGUGACUGUGGCGUAGGCCGGCAGCCGCAGCUCUGAUUCGACCCCUAGCCUGGGAACUUCCAUAUGCCACAGGUACAGCCCUAAAAAGAAAAAACAGACAAAAAAUAAAACAAACCAAAACAACCCCCCCCCUGAAAAAAAGUCUGAGGCCUAGGAAACUGCUGUGACCCUCCGGGGACAGAGGCUGGGCACCCCCUCACCUGACCCCAAUCCUCCCAGAAGCCACCCUGAGGCUUGAGCAUCCAGACCAGGAUCAGAAGGCCAGGGAGAGGCAGCCAGUGCCCCAAGGCCCUGGGCUCAGGUCCUCAGCCAGCCUGGGCCUCAGGCAGGGAGUCAGGGAGGCUCCCUGGGCAACCGCUGGGGUCAGGAAGGCGAGGUUCCAGCCACUUGCAGGUCGAGGCAGAAACACAGAAGCCUUCCCUCCCAAUCCUCACAGAUGCACAUUUUAAAAUACAGCCUGGGGUUUCUCAGGGCAAGAAAUCUUAGAAACAAAUCCCCUGAGAUGGGGUGUCUCGAAUGACCGACCAUGUGUCUCACGAGAAACGCUAAGUGGACAUGAGCCCAUGGCAAGGCCGGCCUGGUGCUCACAUGUGGCUGACACCCUCCCUCUGGUUGUGAGUUUGUCAAUUUGUCGAGGGCAGGAGGAGAUGAGGUCCAACUGGCUUACAGGCGCAGCCACCCUCCCCGCAGCCAGCGGUCCGGAGCGAGCAGCCCAGGCAUGGAGGGUCUCAGCCUCAGUCUCAGCCUUGGCGGCACCAUCAGGAACUUUCCAACCACUCAUGUCUGGCUCCAAACACCUCAGCUGUCCUGGCCCAAGGGGAGGGGGGUGCUGGGCUGAAAAUCUCCCCAGGGUUCCUCACACUAGGGUGCCCCCAACGUGCCCCUGGGAGCCUGCGAAACCCCAAUGACUGGGUCCCCUUGCCAGAGGCUCUGCCCUGCAGGUCUCAGGUGGGGCCUUGGAAUGUGCAUUUCCAACAAGCUCCCGGGGGCCACUGCUGGUGCAGAUCCCACCCCUGCUUUGAGAACAGCUGCCCUGAGAACACUUAGAUGAGGGCAGGGCCCUGCCUUCCUGGGGACCCCAGUAUGCAAAUGGGACUUCAGGUGGACCCCAGACACAAACAAGGUGAGAGGACACAGCCCAGCCUUGUGACCAGAAAAGCCGGGAAAUGUGAGUGCUGGGCCUCGCUCUGUUGCCAUCCAGAGGCGGACCCUGGAGAUACCCCUUCCCCCGCUGCAGACCCCAGUCCUGGCAUCACCAGUGGAACAAAGUAAAUUCAAGUAAAGAAUCCCCAGUCACCCCAGGUACACUGCUGCUCCAGAAACAGCUACGGAGGGGUGGGGACCAGGCCAGAAUGAACCCCACAGGGCUGGAGACGCGCCCAGGGCCCCUUUGCUCCUUGGCCACAAGGAAGAAGUGGCCAUCGUUGUCACAGGUCAGGAGAGGGAGCCCAGGGGUGCAGGGGGCCAGGAAGUGGCUGCCACUUGAGAUGACCCCCCCCAGUGGGUGUUCCCAGCACCCCCACUUCCAUGGCCCGUGGCCGCCACACACAGGUGUGCUCACUGCUCACGGCUCCGUGGGAGCCUGAAAUUUCAAGUCUGGGGACACUGCCCCCAGGUGCUCACCUGUGGCCAAUGGCACAUGGAUGCAUGUGCCAUCCUCUGUUCCCAAAGGGAAGUAAGUCCAAGAUGUAAGGAAGACCGGACAGGUGGCCUGGCCACCAGACCCCCCGGAACAAGGGGUUAGCCCAGACCAGUGGCUUUCAAGCAUUUUUAGAGGAUGAACCUUUCUUCUUCUUUUUAAUAGAUCCCUAGCACAGGGUCGACCAGUGCUGAGGUUCUGACUGUGUGUCUCUGUGUGGGGGUGAGAGUGGGGAGGGAGGGGUCCCUGAGUCCCAGACAGCCUCCCACCCCCGCCACCAGGGGUGUGGUACAUACAUACAAUGGAAUACCCUUCAGCCAUAGACAAGAAUGACAUAUUGCCACAUGCAGCAGCAUGUAUGCAACUAGAGAUGCUCACACGCACUUGUAUGUGGAAUCUGAAAAAAUGAUGCAGAUGAACUUGUUUACAAAACAGAAAUAGACUCGCAGAGAACAAACUUAUGGUUACCAAAGGGGACAAAGGGGAGGGGAGGGAUAAGAUAGGAGUUUGGGAUUAUAUGCACACCACUAUACAUAAAACAGAUAACCAACAAGGACCUAUCGUAUAGCACAGAGAACUCUACUCACUAUCUUGUAAUAACCUAUAAUGGAGAAGAAUCUGAAAAAUAUAUAUACACAUGUAUGUAUACACACACACAAAUAUAUACACAUGACUGAAUCACUUUCCUGUAUACCUGAAAUUAACACAACAUUGUGAAUCAACUAUACAUCAAUCAAUAAAUACAUAAAUAAAUUUUUUAAAAAAUAAAGUAUUGACUACGGUACUAGUUUUAAUAUGGCACAGGCCCCAUCUCAGGGAAGGUCAGGGAGAGCAGAGAGGGAGGCAGGAUGUCUUUCUCGCCUCAGCCUCCCCUCCAGGCCUGGCACCUGUCCCAGGGUCUAGGGCAGGGCCGGCAGCAGCAAACGUUUCCUGGAAAAGGGCCACAGAGUAAAAAAUUUAGGUCGUGCAGGUCCUGUGGCCUGUAUUGCAACUAUUCAACUCUGCCUUCAAAGAGCAAGAGCAGCCAUGUGUGGCUGUGUGUGGCUGUGCUCCAAUAAAACUUUAUUUAUGAAAACCGCCAACAGACCGGGUUUAGUGGAGGGCCCCAGUUUUGCUGAGCCCUGGCAUAGGGAAAAACGCUGUGGGGUCCGCAACCCUAAGAUUCUUUCCACAUUUAUGACAAUGAAUUCUCAAUUCUUAAACUCUACUUGCCGGAGUCUUGGUCUAACCUAUCAAGAAUACACUCAUUCCUGAACUUCACGGAUUUUUGUUCCAAGAACCAAAAAUGUUCUGAUGAGCUAAUGAAUGUGAAAAAUGCUUUGAAAAGCCUAAGCUUUGCAAACGGGCAGACCCACCAAAGCCUCUAAGAGCAGAGCUUACCAUCCUUUACCUGUGUUUCAGGAAGAUUCCAGGCACUGGGUUAUGUCCGCCUGGGCUGCUUUUAAAGAACGGGGUUUAAAGAAUGCUGCAGUAAAAAGGGCCUAAAGGGACAACGAAGCUGGAAGAAAUGAAUAGUGUCUGGUCCUUGUCUCCUGGAGCCUGAAACUUUUAAACUCUCCAUAGAAAAUCCCACACUCCCCAUUUCAUCCUGUUUGUCUACGCAGCGGCCUCUUAGGCCAGGAAACGGCAUUAGUCAGGAGGCUCCUGGUUAAUCCCUGGAUACGUCUCCUUUGCGCAGCUGUGAAAAUGCUGCAUUGUUAUUUAACUGCACUGAACCGCUCUCCAUCCUUGAAACUGUCUUCAUAAUCACACCGUGACCUAAGGUGCCCUCGCGUGGUGAAGUCCCCGUGAAUGGCUGCCAUCCGUCUACCCUCCAUCGUCCUUCUGGCAGAAAGAAAUCGUAGCCACAAUUUAGUAAGCACCUACUGUGGCUGAGCUUUUGCUANUUUUUUUUUUUUUGGUCUUUUUGGCUUUUCUAGAGCCGCACCCACGGCAUACGGAGGUUCCCAGGCAAGGGGUCUAAUCGGAGCUGUAGCUGCUGGCCUACACCACAGCCACAGCAACGCCAGAUCUGAGCCAAGUCUGCAACCUACACCACAGCUCAUGGCAACACCGGAUCCUUAACCCACUGGGCAAGGCCAGGGAUCGAACCCUCAACCUCAUGAUUCCUGGUCAGAUUCGUUAACCACUGAGCUACGACAGGAACUCUGAGGUUUUGCUGUUUCAUGAAGCUUACUUCACCUCAUGACAACCACAACUCUGAGACGUGGGCCUCUCAAUCUGCAUUUUACAGACGGUGGAGAUGAGGUUCAAAGAAUUUAGAAAACACCUGCCAAUGCACAGGUCGAAAAUGACGGAACUGCGAUUGAGGAUUUACCCUGGAACCCAAGCUCUUGCCACGUUAUCAUCAAUGACUUCAUGUAUCUCAUCUGUUAUUUUUCCUAGCCUCCUUGUAUUGACAAAGAAAAGACGAAAUCCUGCAAACAGAUACAAGGGGGACAAUUUCUUCCUCACUUGUGAUCCUCUGAAGGUGAAAAAAGAACUGUCACCUGGCCAGGUAAGAAUCAUGAAAGUUCACCCAAGAGCUAAGCUAGUCUCAGAUGGCAUUAAAUUUGGGUUGUGAUUUUUCUACACAGAGAGUAUAUUGCUUUUGAAAGGAAAAUUGAGAUGUUUGUUUUUUCAAUAAGCAACAAGUCUGGAGUAGGGGGAACCUGCUUUCUCUUCUUGCAGGGCCCUGGGCUAACAUCCACGUCCCAGCCUCCCUUGCAGUUAGAGGUGGUCGUGUGACUGAGCCCUGACCAACAGAACAUGAGCAAGAAUGAGGGUCUGGGCCCUAAAAUUCAGCUUGUACAACCCCCCUUGCUCAUUUCCCUUAGAGCAAAGCAGCACAGUGACCUUGGAAACCAAGCGGGAGGACAAAGAAGCCUCAAAAUAGAAAGUUCCACAGUCCAUGGACCACCUCUUACAGCAGGGCCACCGCAGACCAGAACUUUACAUGAGAAAGAACUUUGUUUUGGAGUUCCCAUUGUGGCCAGUGGUUUAAUGGUCUGGCUUGUCUCUGUGGCAUUGCCGAUUUGAUUCCCCAGCCCGGAGUAGUGAGUUAAGGCUCUGGUGUAGCCGCAGCUGUGGCACAGGUCUCAGAUGCAGCUCAGAUUCGAUUCCUGGCCUGGUGGUCCCAGAACUUCCAUGCGUCAUGGGUGCAGGGGGAAAACAAUAAAAAGAGAAAAGAAACUUCUUUGGGUUAAACUCCCAAGUCUGAAGGACUUGUUACUGCAGCUACUAUUAUCCUAAUCCAGUAACGACUAUGACACAAAUUAAAUAGCAAUUACAAAGAGUUAAAAUUCUAAGUUGUUCCACUUAAGAACGUAAACAGCGAUUAUUUGAAUCAUGAAAAUUAGAGAAAAGUUAAUGGAAGUUAUGUAAACUAGAACAAUAAAGUAUAUCUUUCAAGACUCUAAAAAAAAAAUCUUAGUUGUUUCCCAGGUUCGAACCCAGGGAUAAAACGCUGAGGUGAUUGAAAAUUAUCAUUCUUCAUAUUUUGGAUAUAUUAAAUACAGUAUUCAAAUUCCCUUCACCUGUUUCUUUUUAUGUUUCUACUGUAGCUACCAGGAAUUCCAAAGUCACACCCGUAGCUCACAGUGCAUUUCUACAAGACAAUGCUGCCCCAGAUCGUGAAAACAUCAGAUUUUCUGGAUAAUUACUGAUACACAUUGAGUAUCCAUGCAUGACAGGUGGGAGCCCUGCUCUGCUUCUGGAAAAGCCCUGUGACCUCAGGAAGGUCACUCGUGCCCCCUGGAUCUCAUUUUUUUCAUGUAAAUCCUGAGCGCUUUGGACCUUCCAUUCUUUGUAGACUGGUCAUGCCCAGCCACAUGGUAUUAAACCAGCUGAUCCCAGCAUCCCCUUUGCUCAAGACCUGCACCCUGAACCAGUCUGCCCUGCCAGUCCUGGCCUGGUCUCCAGUUCCUGUUCAUGGUUCAUACGCACCCUUGGACUAAGCCUGUACUCUUUUUUCAUCCAGAUCUCUGACUUCCCUCCUCUAUGACAGCUCACAUUGGACUCUUGGAUGAUAUGGUUUCUGGCCAUUCCGGUAAACACACAACCUGAUCUAAUAAACACUCCAGCACAGCCCCGUGGGGUCAGUGUCCAUCAGCCUCACUUCUGUCCUGCAACCCAGGCUCAGGGUAGCUUCCCCACCGCCAGAGCCCUCAGACCCAACAAGCCUGGCAGAGGGAGGGAGCAGAGCCCUUUAUCAGAAAAGAAUGCAGAGACCUCAGAGCCCAGCCCAGGCCAAAGGCUAUCAUUUGAAGUAGCUUCCUUCUUUCAAAGUUUCUGAGGAAAAGCUUAUUUCCUUGAAAUAGCAAAGAACUGAAAACCAAAAGAUGAGAGGUUUUCUUUUUUUUUUUUUUUUUUCUGGAGAUAGACAGCAAAGUGUACCAGUAAAUAGUACCAAGAAUUCAUUUCUGCUACAGUUGUCCACCACCCCCAAUAUUGCAUUUAGUUAACUUAAUUUUCUGGGGAUCGAAUUGAUUCGAAGUUAAAUUUCUCUUAAUAGGUCAUCUGAGUAAACAGUUUCGGGUCUAUGCCAAAAGACGACGUUUCCAGGCUCGAGAUGAAAUCGGCAGUGUCAGGCUAAGAAAACAACCUUAAAAAUUCACAGAGGGCUGGAACAAUUGCAGAAAAAUUAGAGCCCGGGGCUCAGUCUUUUUCACGCAGAUUUAGAAGAAAAAAUUACAAAUUUCCACCAACACCAAAAAAAAAAAAAAAAAAAAAA